GUGGGGAAUUUUGGACAAUGGGCGAAAGCCUGAUCCAGCCAUGCCGCGUGCAGGAUGAAGGCCUUCGGGUUGUAAACUGCUUUUGUACGGAACGAAAAGACUCUGGUUAAUACCUGGGGUCCAUGACGGUACCGUAAGAAUAAGCACCGGCUAACUACGUGCCAGCAGCCGCGGUAAUACGUAGGGUGCAAGCGUUAAUCGGAAUUACUGGGCGUAAAGCGUGCGCAGGCGGUUAUAUAAGACAGAUGUGAAACCCCCGGGCUCAACCUGGGAACUGCAUUUGUGACUGUAUAGCGAGAGUACGGCAGAGGGGGAUGGAAUUCCGCGUGUAGCAGUGAAAUGCGUAGAUAUGCGGAGGAACACCGAUGGCGAAGGCAAUCCCCUGGGCCUGUACUGACGCUCAUGCACGAAAGCGUGGGGAGCAAACAGGAUUAGAUACCCUAGUAGUCC
rnacentral:rRNA from 1 species